AUUGAACGCUGGCGGCAUGCCUAACACAUGCAAGUCGAACGGGGCAGCAAUGCCUAGUGGCGGACGGGUGAGGAAUACGUAGGAAUCUGCCCUUAAGUGGGGGAUAACCAGGGGAAACCCUGACUAAUACCGCAUGAUCUCUUCGGAGCAAAGAGGGGGACCGCAAGGCCUCUCGCUUCUGGAUGAGCCUACGUCUGAUUAGCUAGUUGGUAGGGUAAAGGCCUACCAAGGCGACGAUCAGUAACUGGUCUGAGAGGAUGAUCAGUCACACCGGAACUGAGACACGGUCCGGACUCCUACGGGAGGCAGCAGUGGGGAAUAUUGGACAGUGGGCGCAAGCCUGAUCCAGCAAUGCCGCGUGUGUGAAGAAGGCCUUCGGGUUGUAAAGCACUUUAGCCUGGAAAGAAAAAACUUUGGUUAACACCCAAAGUCUUGACGGUACCAGGAGAAUAAGCACCAGCUAACUCUGUGCCAGCAGCCGCAGUAAAAC
rnacentral:rRNA from 1 species